rnacentral:precursor_RNA from 1 species
UACAUUCUCAGACAGACAUCAAAGUGAUUAUUACUCAUGAAUGAAUACAGAUUUAUUCAUUAUUAAAUUUGUUCCUGAGCAGUAAUGAUAUUGAUGUCUGUCUCAAAUGGGAU